rnacentral:lncRNA from 1 species
UUAUCAGGAUAUAUUUUAUUUUAUUUUUUUCCCACUGUACAGCAAGAGGAUCAAGUUAUCCUUACAUGUAUACAUUUUUUUUCCCCAUCCAUGGUGUUCUUAUUUAAGAGAAACCAUGUUAAAGAAGCUUCCAGAGAAAUUUAAAGGGAAAAGUAACCGAAUCCCACAGCCUAAGAGGAGUCUGUGGAAACAAGAAAAGACAGGGCAUGAACUUUACCUCUUUGAAGGAUUUAGGUGGUUAUAAGUUCAUUACGAAUACUGGAGUCUGAGUUUGUUUUUUUUGUUUGUUGUUUUUUUUUUUUUAGGGCCGCACCUGCAGCAUAUGGAGGUUCCAAAGCUAGGGGUUGAGAUGGAGCUGUAGCAGCUGGCCUACACCAGAGCCGCAGCAACGCAGGAUCCUAGCUGAAUCUGCUACCACCUACACCACAGUUCACGGCAACGUCAGAUCCUUAACCCACUGAGUGAGGCCAGGGAUCGAACCUGCGUCCUCAUGGAUGCUAGUCAGAUUUGUUUCUGCUGAGCCAUGGUGGGAACUCCUGAGAUUCUUUUUUUUUCUUUCCUUCUUGUGGGGACUUUCCCACUUCAGAGGCUACCUCUGUGUAUCAGGCAUGGGGGCCACUGACUCCGUUUUUCAUUCCCUAGGAGAAUGUUUUAUACAUUUACCCAGUUUACAGGCAGAGAAAUGCUGUCUGCUCCACCAGCAAAAUUAACACCAGAAGGCUAGUUGGAAAGCUCCUUCCUAAGACAAGGACACAGCUCCUCCCCCUAAGCACACUCUGCCUCCUAUGAACCCACAUGAGGAACAACUCGGUGAGGUGAAUGGAUCAUUUCCUCUGGCGGAGGAGGAAACAUGACAAAAGGCCAAACAUCUUUGUAUGCAUGCUGAUGAAAAGGUGCCUUACUGCUGUAUUUACCUAAUAAAAUCUUUCUCCAAGUGAACACACUGAGAUAGAGUGUCUUAUUUGCACAUCAGACCUGGGGCAUUGAAAGCAUAAGCCACUGUACAUAGAAACCCCUUUUCAAAGAAACACAGGAAAGGAAGCCUUUAAGUAGAAUGAAAACAAGCCCAAACUGAGAGAUGACUCUGAAUAAGAGGGGUAUGGGUAAAAACCAUGAAUUUGAACACAUAAGCUGCAUAAAAAUCGCUCUUGUUACUUCUUCAAGGACACACCUCUGCCUGGGCACUGUGUAUCCAGUAAGAGAAAACGAGAAAGGGACCAGGGAAGCCUGACUCAGGAGGCUGAGCAUCAAAGGGAGCCCUACCUUCCUCUUGUAACUUCAAGUCAAGCUACUCGGCAGACAUGAAAUUUGCCAAUGGAAGAGUCGAUGUGCAUCAACUGUUGCCAUCUUCUCGACUCUCUUCUAACACCCUAAAGGGCGGCGGGCAUCCAAGGAGGCUUUGCACGCAUCUCUGUACGAACUUGCAGUCUUAGAGGUUGCCCCCAGCAAAUGUUUUGGCUGCCGUCUCCUCAGAGACAAAAUCAGUUCAGAGCCUUAUGGCUCUAGCUCCGCCAUCACUUGGGACACACUCUGGCGUGAAUAUUAGAUUAAAGGAAGUCAUUCUGGGAACAUGGCAUAGGCAGAAUUUGGUCAGAAUUCUGCUCAUAGGCAGAAUUUGGUCAGGAGUUCAGUUUCCUCACUACACUGUCCUGCCUGUUUCACCUGGGUUUGUAAGGAUCAGCAGAAAAGGAAAGCAACAAAGUCUUCAUCAACAAUCAAAAAUUACGGAGUUCCCGUCGUGGCGCAGUGGUUAACAAAUCCGACUAGGAACCAUGAGGUUGCAGGUUUGAUCCCUGGCCUUGCUCAGUGGGUUAAAGAUCCGGCGUUGCCGUGAGCUGUGGUGUAGGUUGCAGACGCGGCUCGGAUCCCGCGUUGCUGUGGCUCUGGCGUAGGCCAGUGGCUACAGCUCCAAUUAAACCCCUAGCCUGGGAACUCCUUAUGCCAUGGGAGCAGCCCAAUAAAUGGCAAAAAAGACCAAAAAAAAAAAUUAGUCUAUGCAUAUAGAAAACCAACUUAGUGUCGCCAAAGGGGAAAGGUUGUGGCAGGGGGCAGAGGAGGGAUAAAUUGGGAAUUAGGGAUUAACAGAUACACACUACAGUAAUAAAACAGAUAAACGACAAGGAUCUACUCUAUAGCACAGGGAACUAUAUUCAAUAUCUUGUAAUAACUUAGAAAAGAAUCUGAAAAAGAAUAUGUAUAUACAUAUGUAUAUGUAUACACUUAUAUAUCUGAAUAACUUUGCUAUACACCUGCAACACUGUAAAUCAACUAAACUUUAAUUUAAAAAAAUUAGUAUAGGAGUUCCCAUUGUGGCUCAUGGUAAUGAGCCCAACCAGUAUCCAUGAGGAAGAGGAUUUGAUUCCGGGCCUCGUUCAGUGGGUUAAGGAUCUGGCAUUGCCACAAGCUGCACUAUAGGUCAAGGACGCUGCUCGGAUCUGGUGUUGGCAGCAGCUACAGCUCCAAUUUGAUCCCUAGCCGGGGAAAUUCCAUAUGCUGCGGGUACGGCCCUAAAAAGACAAAUACUACUGCUACUACUACUACUACUACUACUAAUAAUAAUAAUAAUGAUGAUGAUGAAUUAAAAAUUAGUCUAUGCAAACCUAUCCAAAUGAUGAGGGGGCAGACUUAGCAUUGGGCUCCCUUCUCUUCAUUUUGUCUUCACUUCUAAGAACCACCCAGGUUUGCCUUCCUGAUGGACACGCUCUUGUCCUCUCUCUCCUCACUAAUGCCAGUCUUUUUCAUUUUAUUAAUUUUUUUUCUUUUUAGAGCCACACCUGAGGCAUAUGGGAAAUUCCCAGGCUAGGGGUCGAAUCCGAGGCUCAUCUGUGACCUAUACUACAGCUUGCAGCCAUGCCAGAUCCUUAACCCACUGAGCGAGGCCAGGGAUCAAACCUGCAUCCUCAUGGAUACUAGUGGGGUUCAUAACCUGCUGAGCCAUAAUGGGAACUCCCAGUGCUUUUUAUUAAGCACGUCCUAUCAGUGCUCUUUGCUAAACUUACCUGCCCAUGAGGUGCUAAUGAGAGAGAGGUUUAGUGUGAAACGUCUCCAUUUCUGUUACACGAUACGUUAAAGAUCUUCAACUCCAUUCCUUAAGGGGGGGUGGGAGUCCUAAAGCACCAAAGGCAUAGCUUUGGGGGAGAUACUUUGGGGUAAGCAACCUUCAUGGUCCUUUAAAAUCAUAUCACAUAAAUGUCUGCCUAACCUGCUCGAACCACAAGUUAUCCUGGAGAGGACACAGCAGCUAGAUUCUCUCAAAGGCUGAUUUGGGGCCAGGUGCUGUGGUAGGGACCGCUUUACAUAGGCUACUUCAUUGAAGCAGGUGACUGACAACUUUCAUUUAGUUAAAAGAGAAGUUGACUCUUUUUUUUUUUUUUUGUCUUUUUGCCAUUUCUAGGGCUGCUCCCACGGCAUAUGGAGAUAUGGAGAUUCCCAGGCUAGGGCUCUAAUCGAUGCUGUAGCUGCCGGCCUACACCACAGCCACAGCAACGUGGGAUCCGAGCGGCAUCUGCAACCUACACCACAGCUCAUGGCAACGCUGGAUCCUUAACCCACUGAGCAAGGCCAGGGAUCGAACCCCAAACCUCAUGGUUCCUAGUCAGAUUCAUUAACCAUUGAGCCCCAACGGGAACUCUGAGAAGUUGACUCUUAGAGCUGAGAAAGCUCUGGACAAUAUAGAAGCACCCUCCCACUUAUUUUACAGGUUUGGGCUUCAGUGUUUGGGAGACACCCCCCUCCAUCAUGUGGCUGUGGGAGAACUUAGUAGAAGCUGGGCUUCAGACACUGGUGGGAACCCUGGCCUCCAUUCUAAGGCUAACCCUCUCCCAUGCCAUCAUCCCAAACCACGCCAGGUCUGGGCAAGACUUUGGGUCAUUUCUUUCUGAAGACUGGUUCCGCUGCUGCUCCCCUUCAACAGCACUGGUAAAGCUGACUAGAUGAUGAAUGUUAUCAAACAUUCCUCAUCACCAAAAGCCCACACUUGUUGAUCUCCAUGGAGGCGGGGUUUCUUGAAAGUGGCUUCUUAACAUGAAACAAUUCACCAAAUGCUGAGUGAUUGCCUUUGCAAGGUGAACAGGUGUGGUGUGUAUUAUGGUACACAUAUUCAGUGAGAGUCACACGGGUGUGAACUUCCUUUCUGCUCCAUUAGUCCAUGUUUCCUACUCUCUUUUCUAAUUAAGUUCCUGGGACAGCAGUAAGAUGGCACUCCUGGCUGUGGUUCAUACAGGAGGAAAGAUCAGGCUUCUCAGGACUUCCUUCAGUCCAGUUUCCCAUCUGCAUCCCUCCGGGACCUCUUUCUAGAACUAUCUUCAAACAUGGUGAUUAUAGCAGCCUUACUCAUAAUUGUGAAAACUUGGAAGCAGCUAAGAUGGCCUUCAGUAGGUGAAUGGAUAAAUAAACUGUGGUAUGUCUAGACAAUGGAAUAUUACUUAACACUGAAAAAGAGCUAUCAAGUCAUGAAAAGACAUGGAAGAACCUUACGUAGACAUUACUAAAUCAAAGAGGCCAAUCCAAAAAGGCUACUAAGGGAGUUCCCACUGUGGCACAACGGAUUAAGAAUCUGACUGUAGUGGCUUGGAUCAUUGUGGAGGAAUGGGUUUGAUCCCAGGUCCAGCACAGUGGGUUAAAAGAUCCAGUAUUGCUACAGCUGCCCAGGAACUUCCAUAUGCUGUGGGUGUGGCCAUUUUAAAAAAACAAAUGCUACUAAGAUUCUGGUCACCAGUUCCAGGGUGUGUGUGUUCUCUGCCACCAGCUGGGUGUCCUACACUUCAGAUCAAUUCUGACACCAUCUACCCAGAUUGAUCAGAUUCCACAGGUUAAGGACUCAGUUCCACAAGACUGCCCUCUGUUUCUGAUGCUAAUUGUAAGUUUAGGUUAUUAUCUGUGCAUCUGCCCCAAUUCCAUAGACACGAUUGAUUAAAUCAUUCUCCAUGGUAAAUAAUUCAACUUCCAGCCCCUCUCCUCUUCCUGGAAAUCAGAGGAUGAGAUUAAAAAUUCCAAUUCUUCUUCUUCUCUUUUAAUGGCCACACUCGUGGCAUGCGGAAGUUCCCAGGCUAGGGGUCAAAUUGGUGCUGCAGGGGUGAGCCCAUGCUACAGCCACAGUAAAUGCUGGAUCCAAACUGCACCUACAACCUACACCCCAGCUUGCAGCUGGAUCCUUAACCCACUGAGCAAGGUCAGGGAUCAAACCCACAUCCUCAUGGAUCCUAGUUGGAUUCUUAACUCUAUGAGCCACAAGGGGAACUCCAAAAGUUCCGAUUCUUAUUUAGGGUUGGUUCUCUUGCCAACUGGCCCUCAUCCUUUGGUGCUUUCUAAAAUUUACCUCAUUAAUGAAAAAGACAUCAUUAUUGCCUUUACCACUUAGGAAAUUCUCAGUGUUUUAGGAACUCUAUGCCAUAAAUGGGUGUAAGAUCAAAUAUAGAUUUCUUUUCUUACUUAUUUGUAUUUAUUUAUUUAUUUUGGUCUUUUUAGGACCCCACCUGUGGCUUACGGAAGUUCCCAGGCUGGUGGUUGAAUAAGAGCUGUAGCUGCCAGAUCCUUAACCCAUUGAGCGAGGCCAGGGAUUGAACCUACAUCCUCAUGGACGCUAGUCAGAUUCAUUUCCUCUGACACGACAGGAACUCCUAGAUUUCUUUUUUAAAAUUAUAGUUGAUUUAUAGUGUUGUAUAGUUUCUGCUGUAUAGCAGAGUUACUCAGUCAUACAUCUCUCUCUCUCUCUGUGUAUAUAUAUACAUUUUUUUCUUAUACAAUCUUCCAUCUUGCUCUAUCCCAAGUGAUUUCUUAUCACUUAACAAUAUCACACAAUAUGAUUCCAAUUAUACACAUCCCAGAAAAGACAAAACUAUGGAAAUAAUUAAGACCAGUUGUGGCCAGGGGUUGGGGGAAGAGAGGGAUGAAUAGGCAGAGUGUAGAGGAUUUUCAGUAAAACUACUUUGUAUGGUACUCUAAGUGAUGGGUGCAUGUCCUCAAGCAUUUGUCCAGACUCAUAGAACAUACAACACCGGGAGUAAACCCUGAUUUAAUUGUGGACCUCGAGCAAUUAUAGUGUUAGUGUAGGUUCAUCAUUUGUAAUAAAUGUGCCACAGGGGCAGGGAUGUUGGUAGUGGGAGACUCCACACAUAUAGAAGGGGAGAAAAAUAUAUGGAAAACCUCCAUAUUUUCUGCUCAAUUUUGCUGUGAACCUAAACAGUUAUUUAAAAAGUCUUUUUUUUUUUUUUUUUAAAUAGAGUGAAGGGAAUAUUUGUCUACUUAGCUUGGACUUCUCCCCAUCCCCCAACUCCCUUUUCCUUCCUUUCUUCCCCCAGAUUCAAUUUCCACAGCUUCUCAAGGGCAUAAGAUCAUGCUGCCUUUUGUUUUCCUAUACAUGAAUACAUAUUAUGGUGUUAGGACU